CCUACGGGUGACUGUAGUGAGGAAUAUUGGUCAAUGGGCGCGAGCCUGAACCAGCCAAGUAGCGUGAAGGAUGACUGCCCUAUGGGUUGUAAACUUCUUUUAUAAAAGAAUAAAACGAGGCACGUGUGCCUUUUUGCAUGUACUUUAUGAAUAAGGAUCGGCUAACUCCGUGCCAGCAGCCGCGGUAAUACGGAGGAUCCGAGCGUUAUCCGGAUUUAUGGGGUUUAAAGGGAGCGGAGAUGGGUUGUUAAGUCAGUUGUGAAAGUUUGCGGCUCAACCGUAAAAUUGCAAUUGAUACUGGCAGUCUUGAGUACAGUUGAGGUAGGCGGAAUUCGUGGUGUAGCGGGGAAAUGCUUAGAUAUCACGAAGAACCCCGAUUGCGAAGGCAGCUUACUAAACUGUGACUGACAUUGAUGCUCGAAAGUGUGGGUAUCAAACAGGAUUAGAUACCCCGGUAGUC
rnacentral:rRNA from 1 species